rnacentral:rRNA from 1 species
AUUGAACGCUGGCGGCAGGCCUAACACAUGCAAGUCGAGCGGAAGCACGGAACUUGCUUCUGGUUACGGCGGCGGACGGGCGAGUAAUGCCUAGGAACCUGCCUGGCAGUGUGGGAUAACGUCCGGAAACGGGCGCUAAUACCGCAUACGUCCUGAGGGAGAAAGUGGGGGAUCUUCGGAUCUUACGCUCUUAGAUGAUCCUAUGUCGGAUUAGCUAGUUGGUGGGGUAAAGGCCUACCAAGGCGACGAUCCGUAACUGGUCUGAGAGGAUGAUCAGUCACACUGGAACUGAGACACGGUCCAGACUCCUACGGGAGGCAGCAGUGGGGAAUAUUGGACAAUGGGCGCAAGCCUGAUCCAGCCAUGCCGCGUGUGUGAAGAAGGUCUUCGGAUUGUAAAGCACUUUUGUUGGGGAGGAAGAGCAGUAAGUUAAUACCUUGCUGUUUUGACGGUACCAACAGAAUAAGCACCGGCUAACUUCGUG